CGAAGAACCUUACCUACUCUUGACAUCCAGAGAACUGAGCAGAGAUGCUUAGGUGCCUUCGGGAACUCUGAGACAGGUGCUGCAUGGCUGUCGUCAGCUCGUGUUGUGAAAUGUUGGGUUAAGUCCCGCAACGAGCGCAACCCUUAUCCUUUGUUGCCAGCGGUUCGGUCGGGAACUCAAAGGAGACUGCCAGUGAUAAACUGGAGGAAGGUGGGGAUGACGUCAAGUCAUCAUGGCCCUUACGAGUAGGGCUACACACGUGCUACAAUGGCGUAUACAAAGAGAAGCGACCUCGCGAGAGCAAGCGGAACUCAUAAAGUACGUCGUAGUCCGGAUUGGAGUCUGCAACUCGACUCCAUGAAGUCGGAAUCGCUAGUAAUCGUAGAUCAGAAUGCUACGGUGAAUACGUUCCCGGGCCUUGUACACACCG
rnacentral:rRNA from 1 species